rnacentral:rRNA from 1 species
GACGAACGCUGGCGGCGUGCCUAAUACAUGCAAGUAGAACGCACAGUUUAUACCGUAGCUUGCUACACCAUGGACUGUGAGUUGCGAACGGGUGAGUAACGCGUAGGUAGCCUGCCUGGUAGCGGGGGAUAACUAUUGGAAACGAUAGCUAAUACCGCAUAAUAUUAAUUAUUGCAUGAUAAUUAAUUGAAAGGUGCAAUUGCACCACUACCAGAUGGACCUGCGUUGUAUUAGCUAGUAGGUGAGGUAACGGCUCACCUAGGCGACGAUACAUAGCCGACCUGAGAGGGUGAUCGGCCACACUGGGACUGAGACACGGCCCAGACUCCUACGGGAGGCAGCAGUAGGGAAUCUUCGGCAAUGGACGAAAGUCUGACCGAGCAACGCCGCGUGAGUGAAGAAGGUUUUCGGAUCGUAAAGCUCUGUUGUAAGAGAAGAACGGGUGUGAGAGUGGAAAGUUCACACUGUGACGGUAUCUUACCAGAAAGGGACGGCUAACUACGUG